rnacentral:rRNA from 2 species
UACGUAGGGGGCAAGCGUUAUCCGGAAUCACUGGGCGUAAAGGGUGCGUAGGCGGCCUGACAAGUCAGAGGUGAAAGGCUACGGCUUAACCGUAGUAAGCCUUUGAAACUGUUGGGCUUGAGUGCAGGAGAGGUAAGUGGAAUUCCUAGUGUAGCGGUGAAAUGCGUAGAUAUUAGGAGGAACACCAGUGGCGAAGGCGACUUACUGGACUGUAACUGACGCUGAGGCACGAAAGCGUGGGGAGCAAACA